rnacentral:rRNA from 1 species
UACGAAGGGGGCGAGCGUUGUUCGGAAUUACUGGGCGUAAAGGGCGCGCAGGCGGCUCUGAAAGGCAGAUGUGAAAGCCCCGGGCUUAACCUGGGAAUUGCAUUUGAUACUCUGGAGCUUGAGUACGGUAGAGGGGGAUGGAAUUCCGCGUGUAGCAGUGAAAUGCGUAGAUAUGCGGAGGAACACCGAUGGCGAAGGCAAUCCCCUGGACCUGUACUGACGCUCAUGCACGAAAGCGUGGGGAGCAAACAGG